rnacentral:rRNA from 1 species
AGAGUUUUGAUUAUGGCUCAGGACGAACGCUGGCGGCGUGCCUAACACAUGCAAGUCGACGAAGGCCCAUGCAGCGGCACCACUGCGGAAGGCCUAGUGCGAACCGGGUGAGUACACGUUGAGGAACUUGCCCCGGAGACCGGGAUACUCUUCGAAAGGAGAGCUAAUACCGGAUGUCCUCACCGAAUCGCAUGGUUUGGUGAGGAAAUGGAUUCCGCUCCGGAAGAGCCUCGCGGCCUAUCAGCUAGUUGGUGGGGUAACGGCCCACCAAGGCAUCGACGGGUAGCUGGUCUGAGAGGACGAUCAGCCACACUGGGACUGAGACACGGCCCAGACUCCUACGGGAGGCAGCAGUGGGGAAUCUUGCGCAAUGGGCGAAAGCCUGACGCAGCAACGCCGCGUGCGGGAUGACGGCCUUCGGGUUGUAAACCGCUUUCAGUGGGGACGAACCAAGACGGUACCCACAGAAGAAGCUCCGGCCAACUACGUCCAGCAGCCGCGGUAACACGUAGGGGGCAGCGUUGUCCGGAUUUAUUGGGUAAAGAGCUCGUAGGUGUUCGAUAAGUCGGGUGUGAAACCUCCAGGCUCAACCUGGAGACGCCACCCGAUACUGUCGUGACUAGAGUCCAGUAGGGGAGCAUGGAAUUCCUGGUGUAGCGGUGAAAUGCGCAGAUAUCAGGAGGAACACCAGUGGCGAAGGCGGUGCUCUGGGCUGGAACUGACACCGAGGAGCGAAAGCGUGGGGAGCGAACAGGAUUAGAUGCCCUGGUAGUCCACGCCGUAAACGUUGGGUACUAGGUGUGGGGUCUUAUCAACGGAUUCCGUGCCGCAGCUAACGCAUUAAGUACCCCGCCUGGGGAGUACGGCCGCAAGGCUAAAACUCAAAUGAAUUGACGGGG